rnacentral:misc_RNA from 1 species
GAAAUGCGAUACUUGGUGUGAAUUGCAGAAUUUAGUGAAUCAUCGAAUCUUUGAACGCACAUUGCGCCCUUUGGUAUUCCGAAGGGCAUGCCUGUUCGAGCGUCAUUACAACCACUCAAGCCCUUGCUUGGUCUUGGGGUUCGCGAUCUCGCGGCCCCUAAAAUCAGUGGCGGUGCCGGUCGGCUCUACGCGUAGUAAUACUCCUCGCGACAGGGUCCGGACGGUGUCUUGCCAGCAACCCCCCAUUUUUUCAGGUUGACCUCGGAUCAGGUAGGGAUACCCGCUGAGUUUAA